GCAAGUCGAACGGUAACAGGAAGCAGCUUGCUGCUUUGCUGACGAGUGGCGGACGGGUGAGUAAUGUCUGGGAAACUGCCUGAUGGAGGGGGAUAACUACUGGAAACGGUGGCUAAUACCGCAUAACGUCGCAAGACCAAAGAGGGGGACCUUCGGGCCUCUUGCCAUCAGAUGUGCCCAGAUGGGAUUAGCUUGUUGGUGAGGUAACGGCUCACCAAGGCGACGAUCCCUAGCUGGUCUGAGAGGAUGACCAGCCACACUGGAACUGAGACACGGUCCAGACUCCUACGGGAGGCAGCAGUGGGGAAUAUUGCACAAUGGGCGCAAGCCUGAUGCAGCCAUGCCGCGUGUAUGAAGAAGGCCUUCGGGUUGUAAAGUACUUUCAGCGGGGAGGAAGGUGUUGUGGUUAAUAACCGCAGCAAUUGACGUUACCCGCAGAAGAAGCACCGGCUAACUCCGUGCCAGCAGCCGCGGUAAUACGGAGGGUGCAAGCGUUAAUCGGAAUUACUGGGCGUAAAGCGCACGCAGGCGGUCUGUCAAGUCGGAUGUGAAAUCCCCGGGCUCAACCUGGGAACUGCAUUCGAAACUGGCAGGCUUGAGUCUUGUAGAGGGGGGUAGAAUUCCAGGUGUAGCGGUGAAAUGCGUAGAGAUCUGGAGGAAUACCGGUGGCGAAGGCGGCCCCCUGGACAAAGACUGACGCUCAGGUGCGAAAGCGUGGGGAGCAAACAGGAUUAGAUACCCUGGUAGUCCACGCCGUAAACGAUGUCUACUUGGAGGUUGUGCCCUUGAGGCGUGGCUUCCGGAGCUAACGCGUUAAGUAGACCGCCUGGGGAGUACGGCCGCAAGGUUAAAACUCAAAUGAAUUGACGGGGGCCCGCACAAGCGGUGGAGCAUGUGGUUUAAUUCGAUGCAACGCGAAGAACCUUACCUGGUCUUGACAUCCACAGAAGAAUCCAGAGAUGGAUUUGUGCCUUCGGGAACUGUGAGACAGGUGCUGCAUGGCUGUCGUCAGCUCGUGUUGUGAAAUGUUGGGUUAAGUCCCGCAACGAGCGCAACCCUUAUCCUUUGUUGCCAGCGGUUAGGCCGGGAACUCAAAGGAGACUGCCAGUGAUAAACUGGAGGAAGGUGGGGAUGACGUCAAGUCAUCAUGGCCCUUACGACCAGGGCUACACACGUGCUACAAUGGCGCAUACAAAGAGAAGCGACCUCGCGAGAGCAAGCGGACCUCAUAAAGUGCGUCGUAGUCCGGAUUGGAGUCUGCAACUCGACUCCAUGAAGUCGGAAUCGCUAGUAAUCGUGGAUCAGAAUGCCACGGUGAAUACGUUCCCGGGCCUUGUACACACCGCCCGUCACACCAUGGGAGUGGGUUGCAAAAGAAGUAGGUAGCUUAACCUUCGGGAGGGCGCUUACCACUUUGUGAUUCAUGACUGGGGUGAAGUCGUAACAAGGUAACCGUAGGGGAACCUGCGGUUGGAUCACCUCCUUACCUUAAAGAA
rnacentral:rRNA from 2 species